rnacentral:rRNA from 1 species
ACAUGCCUACAACAAAGCGUUAAUGCAACGGAUCCCAUUAGAAAUUUGGAGUUAAGCGUGCUCAAGAUAGAAUAGUAUUGGGAUGGGUGAUCGCCUGAGUCCUAGUGUUUUACAUGCC